AACGAACGCUGGCGGCAGGCCCAACACAUGCAAGUCGAGCGAAGCCUUCGGGCUUAGCGGCGGACGGGUGAGUAACGCGUGGGAACGUGCCCUUUGGUACGGAAUAGCCCCGGGAAACUGGGAGUAAUACCGUAUGUGGUUGAGAGACGAAAGAUUUAUCGCCAAAGGAUCGGCCCGCGUUGGAUUAGGUAGUUGGUGGGGUAAUGGCCUACCAAGCCGACGAUCCAUAGCUGGUUUGAGAGGAUGAUCAGCCACACUGGGACUGAGACACGGCCCAGACUCCUACGGGAGGCAGCAGUGGGGAAUCUUAGACAAUGGGGGAAGCCCUGAUCUAGCCAUGCCGCGUGAUCGAUGAAGGCCUUAGGGUUGUAAAGAUCUUUCAGUGGGGAAGAUAAUGACUGUACCCACAGAAGAAGCCCCGGCUAACUCCGUGCCAGCCGCCGCAGUAAGAC
rnacentral:rRNA from 1 species